rnacentral:rRNA from 1 species
GACGAACGCUGGCGGCGUGCUUAACACAUGCAAGUCGAACGGAGAGGCCCUGCUUUUGUGGGGUGCUCGAGUGGCGAACGGGUGAGUAACACGUGAGUAACCUGCCCUUGACUUUGGGAUAACUUCAGGAAACUGGGGCUAAUACCGGAUAGGAGCUCCUGCUGCAUGGUGGGGGUUGGAAAGUUUCGGCGGUUGGGGAUGGACUCGCGGCUUAUCAGCUUGUUGGUGGGGUAGUGGCUUACCAAGGCUUUGACGGGUAGCCGGCCUGAGAGGGUGACCGGCCACAUUGGGACUGAGAUACGGCCCAGACUCCUACGGGAGGCAGCAGUGGGGAAUAUUGCACAAUGGGCGGAAGCCUGAUGCAGCGACGCCGCGUGCGGGAUGACGGCCUUCGGGUUGUAAACCGCUUUCGCCUGUGACGAAGCGUGAGUGACGGUAAUGGGUAAAGAAGCACCGGCUAACUACGUGCCAGCAGCCGCGGUGAUACGUAGGGUGCGAGCGUUGUCCGGAUUUAUUGGGCGUAAAGGGCUCGUAGGUGGUUGAUCGCGUCGGAAGUGUAAUCUUGGGGCUUAACCCUGAGCGUGCUUUCGAUACGGGUUGACUUGAGGAAGGUAGGGGAGAAUGGAAUUCCUGGUGGAGCGGUGGAAUGCGCAGAUAUCAGGAGGAACACCAGUGGCGAAGGCGGUUCUCUGGGCCUUUCCUGACGCUGAGGAGCGAAAGCGUGGGGAGCGAACAGGCUUAGAUACCCUGGUAGUCCACGCUGUAAACGGUGGGUACUAGGUGUGGGGUCCAUUCCACGGGUUCCGUGCCGUAGCUAACGCUUUAAGUACCCCGCCUGGGGAGUACGGCCGCAAGGCUAAAACUCAAAGGAAUUGACGGGGCCCCGCACAAGCGGCGGAGCAUGCGGAUUAAUUCGAUGCAACGCGUAGAACCUUACCUGGGUUUGACAUGGAUCGGGAGUGCUCAGAGAUGGGUGUGCCUCUUUUGGGGUCGGUUCACAGGUGGUGCAUGGCUGUCGUCAGCUCGUGUCGUGAGAUGUUGGGUUAAGUCCCGCAACGAGCGCAACCCUUGUUCACUGUUGCCAGCACGUUAUGGUGGGGACUCAGUGGAGACCGCCGGGGUCAACUCGGAGGAAGGUGGGGAUGACGUCAAGUCAUCAUGCCCCUUAUGUCCAGGGCUUCACGCAUGCUACAAUGGCUGGUACAGAGAGUGGCGAGCCUGUGAGGGUGAGCGAAUCUCGGAAAGCCGGUCUCAGUUCGGAUUGGGGUCUGCAACUCGACCUCUUGAAGUCGGAGUCGCUAGUAAUCGCAGAUCAGCAACGCUGCGGUGAAUACGUUCCCGGG